rnacentral:rRNA from 1 species
UACAGAGGGGGCAAGCGUUGUUCGGAAUUACUGGGCGUAAAGAGUGCGUAGGCGGUUUUCUAAGUUUGGUGUGAAAUCUCCCGGCUCAACUGGGAGGGUGCGCCGAAGACUGGAAGGCUUGAGUAUGGGAAAGGUAAGCGGAAUUCCUGGUGUAGCGGUGAAAUGCGUAGAUAUCAGGAGGAACACCUGCGGUGUAGACGGCUUACUGGACCAUAACUGACGCUGAGGCACGAAAGCGUGGGGAGCAAACAGG